AUUGAACGCUGGCGGCAGGCCUAACACAUGCAAGUCGAGCGAGCGGCGGACGGGUGAGUAAUGUCUGGGAGACUGCCUGAGGGGGGGGGAGAACUCCUGGAAACACGAGAGAAUAUCGCAUACCCUCAGAUGUGCCCAGAUGGGGGUAGCGAGUAGGUGGGGUAACGGCUCACCUAGGCGACGAUCCCUAGCUGGUCUGAGAGGAUGACCAGCCACACUGGAACUGAGACACGGUCCAGACUCCUACGGGAGGCAGCAGUGGGGAAUAUUGCACAAUGGGCGCAAGCCUGAUGCAGCCAUGCCGCGUGUGUGAAGAAGGCCUUCGGGUUGUAAAGCACUUUCAGCGGGGAGGCGUUACCCGCAGAAGAAGCACCGGCUAACUCCGUGCCAGCAGCCGCGGUAAUUC
rnacentral:rRNA from 1 species